rnacentral:tRNA from 1 species
UUCUUACUUAAAUAGUUUCCAUAUUAUUCAGCUUUUAGUUAAGUUUGCUAAGUGAUUGUGAAAGUGAAUUAAGCGU